rnacentral:rRNA from 1 species
AUGCCAGACUCCUACGGGAGGCAGCAGUGGGGAAUAUUGCACAAUGGGGGAAACCCUGAUGCAGCGACGCCGCGUGAGCGAUGAAGUAUUUCGGUCUGUAAAGCUCUAUCAGCAGGGAAGAAAAUGACGGUACCUGACUAAGAAGCCCCGACUAACUACGUGCCAGCAGCCGCGGUAAUACGUAGGGGGCAAGCGUUAUCCGGAUUUACUGGGUGUAAAGGGAGCGUAGACGGCGGUGCAAGCCAGAUGUGAAAGCCCGGGGCUCAACCCCGGGACUGCAUUUGGAACUGUGCUGCUAGAGUGUCGGAGAGGCAGGCGGAAUUCCUAGUGUAGCGGUGAAAUGCGUAGAUAUUAGGAGGAACACCAGUGGCGAAGGCGGCCUGCUGGACUGCGACUGACGUUGAGGCCCGAAAGCGUGGGGAGCAAACAGGAUUAGAUACCCCCGUACA